UGGGGAAUAUUGGCACAAUGGGCGCAAGGCCUGAUGCAGCCAUGCCGCGUGUGUGAAGAAGGCCUUCGGGUUGUAAAGCACUUUGUCCGGAAAGAAAUCCUUGGCUCUAAUACAGUCGGGGGAUGACGGUACCGGAAGAAUAAGCACCGGCUAACUACGUGCCAGCAGCCGCGGUAAUACGUAGGGUGCAAGCGUUAAUCGGAAUUACUGGGCGUAAAGCGUGCGCAGGCGGUUUGCUAAGACCGAUGUGAAAUCCCCGGGCUCAACCUGGGAACUGCAUUGGUGACUGGCAGGCUAGAGUAUGGCAGAGGGGGGUAGAAUUCCACUGUAGCAGUGAAAUGCGUAGAGUGUGGAGGAAUACCGAUGCGAGGCGCCCCUGGCCAAUACUGACGNUCAUGCACGAAAGCGUGGGGAGCAAACAGGAUUA
rnacentral:rRNA from 1 species